rnacentral:rRNA from 1 species
AACGAACGCUGGCGGCAUGCCUAACACAUGCAAGUCGAACGAGAUCUUCGGGUCUAGUGGCGCACGGGUGCGUAACGCGUGGGAAUCUGCCCUUUGGUUCGGAAUAACAGUUGGAAACGACUGCUAAUACCGGAUGAUGACGAAAGUCCAAAGAUUUAUCGCCAGAGGAUGAGCCCGCGUAGGAUUAGCUAGUUGGUGUGGUAAAGGCGCACCAAGGCGACGAUCCUUAUCUGGUCUGAGAUGAGGGUCAGCCACACUGGGACUGAGACACGGCCCAGACUCCUACGGGAGGAAGCAGUGGGGAAUAUUGGACAAUGGGCGAAAGCCUGAUCCAGCAAUGCCGCGUGAGUGAUGAAGGCCUUAGGGUUGUAAAGCUCUUUUACCCGGGAUGAUAAUGACAGUACCGGGAGAAUGAGCGCCGGCUAACUCCGUGCCAGCCGCCGCAGUAA